CUAAUUCUAACUGUUGUGGCUGAUUUUGAAGCUGCACCAAACCUUGAUUUGGAUCUAUAAUAAUCUGCUGCUGUCCAGUUGCUUGGUUCUCACCAGGAGUUCCUAUUUUGCUGCAAGUGGCUGCUAGCAAAGCGAGAGGUGAAGGCUGAGAAUCCUGUGAGCCUCCAGUUUUCCCUUUUUUAUUAUUAUUGUUGUUAUUCUCUGCCUCGGGAGAUUUCUCUCCCUCUGUGGGCAUAGUUUCCUCCUUCUUUUGAUCGCUCAUCCCGCAUUAAUGCCCCGCUGAGGCGCCG
rnacentral:lncRNA from 1 species